UACGUAGGGUGCGAGCGUUGUCCGGAAUUAUUGGGGCGUAAAGGGCUCGUAGGCGGUCUGUCGCGUCGGGGAGUGAAAACUCAGGGCUUAACCCUGAGCCUGCUUCCGAUACGGGCAGACUAGAGGUAUGCAGGGGAGAACGGAAGUUCCUGGUGAGCGGUGAAAUGCGCAGAUAUCAGGAGGAACACCGGUGGCGAAGGCGGUUCUCUGGGCAUUACCUGACGCUGAGGAGCGAAAGUGUGGGGAGCGAACAGG
rnacentral:rRNA from 1 species